rfam:Amazona aestiva scaffold_580, whole genome shotgun sequence.
CUAGAGGUUUUAUUUAAAACCAAAAAUAUUUAUCUAUGAAGAAAAA